UGCCUUUAUGUGUUGCCCUUUCAUUGUUCCGUUAGUGAUUGGGGUGUCAAAUAAGGCAUACAGUGACACUUGUGACUGUCUAUGUUUAAAUGGGUUUCAAAGUGACUCUUUUACACAAACGGCUACAAGGACACAU
ensembl:snoRNA